rnacentral:lncRNA from 1 species
CUGGGGCUUAAUUUUAUGGAUGGAGCUUUUGUGACACAGUCACACGGUCUCCAUUCACAUUCACAGGGAUGUGGAGCCUCAGAAAUGCGGGGCUGGUGACUCCAGGAAACAAACCACUUUUGGAUGAAUCCUCCUGGCCAAGCCCCCUCCCUGCCAAGGUCUGGAGUCUGCCAGAAGUCUUUCCUCAAGCCGUCCUCGCUCCCUGUCCCCUGCUGUCUAAAGUUGGUGCUGCUUGUCAGCGCUGAGGACAAAGGCCUCUCUCCUUGGAAGAUUCUGGGCCAGUGCAGAGAGCCAUACAGCAAAUUUUGGGCAGAUCCUGGAGUGGGCUGGAUCAAACACUGAAUCUAGGGGAAUUUUAGCAUCAGAAGCACACCUAGAU